GAUAGCACGAGAGAAAAGGGUAAAAAGUAGCUUCGUUAUCCCGUUUUGUUACAACCGUCACACGCUGCCGUUUUGCUUCUCCUUUUCGUCUGGUAACCCUAAUCUCCCCCCCCUUCUAUAACACACAUGCAUUUAUCCGUGCAUCAUCCAUCCUUUGGAUUCUCCGUUCUCAUUUUAAUAAAAGCAUUUUUCGCAUAAAGAAACGCAUUUUUUUCUUGAAUGUUUUUUCUUGGGAUCAAUUGGUAGCAGGAGUGAGUGAGUGAGUGAAUUUUGGAUAAUAACGAUGCGGUUUUGUAGUUGAAUUGGAAGUGGUAGAGGUUCUUGAGUUUAUGUUAUGGCUCAGCAACAAUCUUCACGUCUCAAUCGGCUACUCACUUUAUUAGACACUGGUUCGACACAAGCUACAAGAUUGACUGCUGCGAAACAGAUUGGGGAUAUUGCGAAAUCGCAUCCUCAAGACUUGCAUUCUCUCCUGAAGAAGGUUUCUCAGAAUCUCCAUAGUAAAAACUGGGAUACAAGAGUUGCAGCUGCUCAUGCGAUUGGGGCUAUUGCUCAGAAUGUCAAGCACACUUCUUUGACUGAAUUAUUUGCUUCUGUCGAAACAAAGAUGUCUGAGAUUGGGGUUUCGGGUCAUGUUGAAGAUUUGGUGGCAUGCCCUAAUUUUCAUUCUCAAAUAAUAUCAAACGGUUUAUUUAGAAGCUUUGAUAUGAACAAAGUGUUGGAGUUCGGUGCUUUGUUGGCAUCUGGAGGUCAGGAAUAUGACAUUGCAAAUGACAAUUCUAAGAAUCCACGGGAGCGAUUGGCUCGCCAGAAACAAAACCUGCGACGUCGUUUGGGUUUAGAUGUUUGUGAGCAGUUUAUGGAUGUCAACGAUGUGAUUAAAGAUGAAGACCUUGUUGUCCACAGACCAGAGUCUCAAAGAAACGGUUUAGAUCAUAGAUUUUACAAACACCCGUCUGUGCAUAACAUCCAGCAACUUGUUGCAAGUAUGGUUCCAAGUGUAAUUUCCAAAAGACCAAGUGCAAGGGAGCUGAAUCUCCUAAAGCGAAAAGCAAAAAUAAAUUCCAAAGACCAAGUGAAAAGUUGGUCAGAGGAUGGGGAUACAGAGGUUGCUUGUCCUCAGAGUACAACUCCAAAGGGCUCAAAUACAGACACCUUUAGCUUUAAAAAGGCAGAUGCUGAUGAAGAAGACAACUUGGAGCAUGAUGGAGAUGGGAGGUGGCCUUUCCAUGGUUUUGUUGAACAACUUAUUGUUGAUAUGUUUGACCCUGUUUGGGAGGUUCGCCAUGGCAGUGUCAUGGCUUUGAGAGAAAUCGUAACUCAUCAUGGUGGUUCUGCUGGAUUGGUUGUGCCUGACUUGAGCUUGGAUGGUGCUUUUGAUGAACUCAGAGAGAGAGAAUAUUCAAAUGCCAUUAAAAGAGAGAGAGAAAUUGAUUUGAAUUUACAAGUUUUAACAGAUGAGUUUGAGCCAAAUCCAAAAAGACAUAAAUCUGAAGAUGUGUCAUCCCAGACAAUGGAUAUGAUGGUCUCUACUAGCAAUCUCGGUAGUAGUGACAUUUGUGUAAAACUUGAGCAUAGUGGAUGGAAUUUGCCUGUUGGGCAGGUUAAUAGCCAAGUUGAUAUCGGUAGUUGUGUUAAGAUGGAGCCCGAAUCUUACCCUAAUGUUGCAUCUUAUUCUGCUGAAAGAGCUGUUGGCAUGGUAGAGUCAAAGGGUAAUGUUGCAUCUUAUUCUGCUGAAAGAGCUGUUGGCAUGGUAGAGUCAAAGGGUUACCCUGAACAUCAGGGUUCUUUUAUGAAGUCAAAUUUGCAGAACAGUUCUCCUGAAAAUUGCGAGCUGAUGAAUUUGGUUAAAUUGGCCAGACAUUCUUCUAUAAAAAAUAAUGAAUUUCUUCAAGAUUGUGCAAUUCGUUUCUUAUGCAUAUUAUCACUAGAUCGUUUUGGAGACUAUGUAUCUGACCAGGUGGUUGCUCCAGUACGUGAAACUUGUGCCCAAGCAUUAGGUGCUGCAUUUAAGUAUAUGCAUCACUCUUUAGUUUAUGAAACAUUGAAUAUUCUGCUUCAAAUGCAGCGUAGGCCAGAAUGGGAAAUUCGUCAUGGAAGCCUUUUGGGCAUCAAGUAUUUGGUUGCUGUUCGACAGGAGAUGCUGCCUGAUUUGCUUGGCUGCAUUCUACCUGCUUGUAAAGCUGGACUGGAGGACCCUGAUGAUGAUGUCAGGGCAGUUGCUGCAGAUGCUCUAAUACCUACUUCUGCUGCAAUUGUUUCCAUGAAGGGUCGGACAUUGCAUUCCAUUGUUAUGCUACUUUGGGAUAUCUUGCUUGAUUUGGAUGAUCUAAGUCCUUCCACUAGCAGUGUGAUGAACCUGCUGGCAGAAAUAUAUUCCCAGGAAGAGAUGAUUCCCAAGAAAACAUCAAAAGAUAAACAAGAGUUGGAUUUAAAUGAAGUGGUACAUGUUGAUGAUGUUGGAGAAGGAAGAGACUUACAAGAAAAUCCAUACAUGUUAUCAACAUUGGCACCACGAUUAUGGCCAUUCAUGAGGCAUAGUAUCACAUCAGUCCGACAUUCAGCGAUUCGAACUUUGGAGCGAUUGCUUGAAGCUGGUUAUAAGAGGAACAUUUCUGAGCCAUCCAGUACAUCAUUUUGGCCCUCUUUUAUCUUGGGAGAUACCCUGCGUAUUGUUUUUCAGAAUCUGCUGUUGGAAUCAAAUGAUGAAAUUUUGCGUUGUUCAGAGAGGGUUUGGAGGCUCCUUGUCCAGUGCCCAGCAGAGGACUUGGAAGCUGCUGCAAGUUCAUACAUGGCUUCUUGGAUAGAACUUACAACUACUCCAUAUGGCUCACCAUUAGAUUCUACAAAGAUGUUUUGGCCUGUGGCUCCACCUCGAAAGUCUCAUUUUAAAGCAGCUGCUAAAAUGAGAGCUGUAAGGCUUGAAAAUGAGUCUUGCAGCAGCAUUGGCUUAGAUUUUGAGAAAGAAACUAUCCCUCAGCAAAGAAAUGGGGAUGCUUCUGCUAGCACAGUCAAGAUAAUUGUAGGUGCUGAUGCUGAAAUCUCAGUAACCUAUACUCGAGUGAUUACAGCUUCAGCUUUGGGAAUGUUCGCUUCUAAGUUGCGUGGGGAUUCUAUGCAACACGUAAUAGAUCCAUUGUGGAAUGCUCUCACCUCUUUAUCAGGGGUUCAGCGGCAGGUAGCAUCAAUGGUUCUUAUAUCGUUGUUCAAAGAGAUUAAAAGGAAGGAAUCCUCUGAAAUCCAUGGGGUUAUGCCUGCUUUUCCCAAUCAUGUUGAGAAGUUGCUGUUCGAUAUGUUAUCUUGUUCUGACCCUGCACUUCCAACAAAAGAUUCAGUUCUUCCAUAUUCUGAGCUCUCAAGGACUUAUACAAAGAUGCGCAAUGAGGCCAGCCAGCUAUUACAUGUCACCGAGUCAUCUGGCAUGUUCAAGAAUUCAUUGUCAACUAUUAAAAUAGACGUGGAAAAAUUGAGUCCUGAUGAGGCAAUCAAUUUUGCAUCAAAAUUACCAUUAUCAUGCAAUGAUAGUGCUGGUGAUGAAUCUACUGGACACAACAUUGUUGAUGAUAUUGAUUCAUCAAAACAGCGACUUCUGACAACUUCGGGCUAUUUAAAAUGUGUUCAGAGUAAUUUGCAUGUUACUGUCUCCGCAUUAGUUGCUGCUGCAGUUGUCUGGAUGUCAGAGCUUCCUGCACGGCUGAAUCCGAUCAUUUUGCCCCUGAUGGCCUCAAUCAAAAGAGAGCAGGAGGAGAUAUUGCAACAAAAGGCUGCUGAAGCUCUUGCAGAGCUAAUUUCACGUUGUAUUGCACGUAAGCCUGGUCCAAAUGAUAAGCUGAUUAAGAAUAUUUGUAGUUUGACGUGCAUGGAUCCUUGUGAGACACCCCAGGCUGGAAUCAUUGGGUCCACAGAGGUUGUUGAUGAUCAAGAUCUCCUCUCCUUUGGGAUUAGUACAGGGAAACAAAAGUCCAAGGUUCAUAUGCUAGCUGGUGGUGAAGACCGCUCAAGAGUUGAGGGCUUUAUUAGCAGACGAGGUUCUGAACAUGCAUUGAAACAUUUAUGUGAGAAGUUUGGGGCUUAUUUAUUUGAUAAGCUACCAAAACUAUGGGAUUGCCUUGUCGAAGUUCUCAAGCCUGGAAGUCCUGCAGAUGAACAACAAUUUGAAAAAACUAUCGCAUCCAUUAAGGAUCCUCAAAUCCUUAUAAAUAAUAUCCAGGUGGUGCGAUCUAUUGCUCCAUUACUGGAUGAGGCAUUGAAACCUAAAUUGCUCACACUUCUCCCUUGCAUUUUCAAAUGUGUGCGCCAUUCUCAUGUUGCAGUUAGAUUAGCUGCCUCAAGGUGUAUUACCUCAAUGGCCAAAUCUAUGACAACAAAUGUCAUGGCAGCUGUAAUUGAGGAUGCCAUUCCUAUGCUAGGGGAUGUAACGUCUGUCCAUGCCAGACAAGGUGCUGGCAUGCUUAUUAGUUCACUUGUUCAGGGACUGGGAGUGGAGCUGGUCCCCUAUGCUAGGCUACUGGUUGUUCCUCUUCUACGUUGCAUGAGUGAUUGUGAUCAUUCUGUCAGACAGAGUGUGACACGUAGUUUUGCUGCUCUUGUUCCUCUCCUUCCUUUAGCUCGAGGCCUAGCCCCUCCUAGUGGACUAAAUGAAGGGUUGGCAAGAAAUGCAGAGGAUGCACAAUUUUUGGAGCAACUACUUGACAAUUCCCAUAUUGAUGAUUACAAGCUCUGCACUGAAUUAAAAGUGACAUUGAGGAGGUAUCAACAAGAAGGUAUAAAUUGGCUGGCCUUCUUAAAACGAUUCAAGCUUCAUGGAAUUCUAUGUGAUGAUAUGGGGCUUGGUAAGACCCUGCAAGCAUCAGCAAUUGUGGCAUCUGAUGUAGCAGAGUUUCGUGCUUUGAAUAACUGUGAGGAUGUUCAACCAUCUUUAAUUGUUUGCCCAUCGACACUUGUGGGACACUGGGCCUUUGAGAUAGAGAAGUACAUUGAUGCUUCUUUAAUUAGUACUCUACAAUAUAGUGGUUCUGCUCAAGAGCGCAUCUGUCUUCGAGAACAAUUUCUUAAGCACAAUGUCAUCAUAACAUCAUAUGAUGUGGUUCGCAAAGAUAUUGAUUACCUUGGACAGGCCCUGUGGAAUUACUGUAUUUUAGAUGAAGGACAUAUAAUCAAGAAUGCGAAAUCCAAAAUUACAGCGGCCGUGAAGCAGUUGAAAGCCCAGCAUCGCCUAAUACUUAGUGGAACACCAAUUCAGAACAACAUCAUGGAUUUAUGGUCCCUGUUUGACUUUUUAAUGCCAGGGUUCCUUGGAACUGACAGACAAUUUCAAGCCACUUAUGGGAAACCUUUGCUGGCUGCUAGAGAUCCUAAAUGCUCUGCCAAGGAUGCUGAAGCUGGGGUACUUGCUAUGGAAGCAUUGCACAAGCAGGUCAUGCCUUUUCUCUUACGAAGAACAAAAGAUGAAGUAUUAUCUGACCUGCCAGAGAAAAUUAUUCAAGACAGAUAUUGUGACCUGAGCCCUGUCCAGUUAAAACUUUACGAACAGUUCUCCGGUUCCCUUGUUAGACAGGAGAUUUCAAGCAUGGUAAAGCUGGAUGAUUCAGCACAACCAGAAGGAAAUAGUGCUUCACCAAAAGCUUCCACACACGUUUUUCAGGCACUUCAAUACUUGUUAAAACUUUGUAGUCAUCCAUUGCUUGUUGCUGGUGAAAAAAUGCCCGAAUCACUUGUCUGCCAGUUACAUGAACUCUUACCUCCAAAUUGUGACAUACUUUCGGAACUUCAUAAGCUUCACCACUCUCCAAAACUAGUUGCUCUCCAGGAGAUUCUGGAAGAGUGUGGAAUAGGUGUGGAUGCUUCAAGUUCUGAUAAUGCUGUGAGUGUUGGGCAGCACCGAGUUUUGAUAUUUGCGCAGCACAAAGCCCUUCUUGACAUUAUUGAAAGGGACUUGUUUCAUUCCCAAAUGAAGAAUGUCACAUACUUGCGGCUGGAUGGAUCUGUUGAGCCAGAAAAAAGAUUUGAUAUUGUAAAAGCUUUUAAUUCAGAUCCUACUAUUGAUGCCUUGUUGCUUACGACUCAUGUUGGCGGGCUUGGUUUGAAUCUUACAUCUGCUGACACCCUUGUCUUUAUGGAGCAUGAUUGGAAUCCAAUGCGAGAUCUUCAGGCAAUGGACAGGGCACACAGAUUGGGGCAAAAGAAAGUUGUGAAUGUCCAUCGCCUGAUCAUGCGUGGCACUCUGGAAGAGAAAGUUAUGAGUCUCCAAAAGUUCAAAGUGUCGGUUGCCAAUGCUGUUAUUAAUGCAGAGAAUGCCAGUCUGAAAACGAUGAACACAGAUCAAUUGCUCGAUUUGUUUGCGUCAGCUGAAACUAGAGCAAAGGGAGCUACUGCAUCAAAGCGCACAGACGGCAGCUUUGAUGGAGAUCCAAAAUUAAUGGGCACUGGGAAGGGGUUAAAAGCCAUCCUUGGUGGACUGGAGGAGCUCUGGGAUCAAUCACAGUACACUGAAGAGUACAAUCUGUCCCAGUUCUUGGCCAAGCUUAACAGCUGAACCCUGGCUUCUCAUCCCAUGUACAAAGUGUAUAUUUGUGGUUGAGUUAGGAAAAAGAAAAUUUUGGCGUUUUAACCGAGCAUAUUUCCCCCAUUCUUUCUUUCCCCAUAGUUUUUUUUUUUUUUUUUUUGGUUCUCCUGAUCGAUGUGGGAGGCUGGGGAAGAAGGUUUUAGUGGUUGGUAUGAGAGCCUGAACGCAGAGAUGAAGGGUAUCGAGAAAAAUCUCAACCCAAAAUGUGCAUCAGAUGGGAUAGAGAUUUGUACAGUUCAAACAAUCUGCAGGUGAACUUACCUCAAAGGGUCUUCUUCCUCAUCACUGGAACGAUGCUCCGCCCUCUGGAUAAGCUCUGGUACUUUCUUUUUUUGGGUCCUCCCUUUCAUAGCAACCUUGGCCCCCCUUAAACCGCCGCCUCCUAAAUCCAUUAAUAAGGUUGUCGGAGCGUGGCAUUUCUAUGCAUCUGCCAGCGUCAUAUUUCCAUAGCAUCUCUAUACAUCUGCCAGCAUCAUCUUUUACUGAAUACAAAGCUUAUGUUCUAACGAAGCUUGCCAGUUUUUCCUGCA